UCUCAGGGCAGAUUUAGACCUUCAACCACAUUCCUUACACCCCCUCAGUUCAUCUCGACAACAGUUUGCCUCUGGCUACUGUUAAAAGUGAUCUCAGGAGCCAGGAUUGGUUUGCUCAGUUCUGACUCUGAAGCCUUCUGAUUUCAGCUACACACGUCAGUCACUCCACAGACAUCUGCUUCAGGAGGAUAAGCCUUUGUGUCUGUUCUGCCAUCCAACCCACUUAGCUUCAGACUGUGGGGAAGCAAACCUAGCUUUGCAGCUGUUGAGGAUGGGCCCUCCCUCACUACCCACUGACCACUGGUGAGGAGGCUGGGACGUGGAAGGAUUGAAGACGUUCAACUUGUAUCUUCUGCCAUCCAAUCAGUGGGCCCAUAUACUUAUCAGGACAUCCCGUCUCUAUGAAAAAGCAGUGGCCUAGGGAGCAACUGACUUCUCUUCAGAUGAAGACAGUGUCUUGCUAUGUCAUUUGGGCUGGUCUUGAGCUCACCUGAGUGCUGGGACUACAGGCGAAUGGAUGGAACUUAAGAAAUCAUCCCGAGAGAGG
rnacentral:sRNA from 1 species